UACGAAGGGGGCUAGCGUUGCUCGGAAUCACUGGGCGUAAAGGGCGCGUAGGCGGCUAGAUGUGUCAAAGGUGAAAUCCCUCGGCUCAACUGAGGAACUGCCUUUGAAACUGUCUGGCUUGAGGCCGGGAGAGGGUAGCGGAAUUCCCAGUGUAGCGGUGAAAUGCGUAGAUAUUGGGAAGAACACCGAUGGCGAAGGCAGCCAUCUGGACCGACACUGACGCUGAGGCGCGAAAGCGUGGGGAGCAAACAGG
rnacentral:rRNA from 1 species